rnacentral:tRNA from 1 species
UCCCUGGUGGCUCAGACGGUAAAGCAUCUGCCCGCAAUGCAGGAGACCCAGGUUCGAUUCCUGGCUUGGGAA